rnacentral:rRNA from 1 species
GUGAGGAAUUUUCCGCAAUGGGCGAAAGCCUUACGGAGCAAUGCCGCGUGAAGGAUGAAGGCCUAUGGGUUGUAAACUUCUUUUCUCAGAAAAGAAUUAUGACGGUAUCUGAGGAAUAAGCAUCGGCUAACUCUGUGCCAGCAGCCGCGGUAAGACAGAGGAUGCAAGCGUUAUCCGGAAUGAUUGGGCGUAAAGCGUCUGUAGGUUGUUUAAAAAGUAUUCUGUCAAAGAUUAGGGCUUAACCCUAGAUAGGCAGAAUAAACUUUUAAGCUAGAGUUUGGUAGAGGCAGAGGGAAUUCCCGGUGGAGCGGUGAAAUGCGUAGAUAUCGGGAGGAACACCAAAGGCGAAGGCACUCUGCUGGGCCAAUACUAACACUGAGAGACGAAAGCGAGGGGAGCAAAUGGGAUUAGAUACCCGUGUAGUCC